CAGAUAUGUAUAGUAAUUUUGAUUCUUAUCCCCUUUUUUUUUGUUGUUAUACCAUCGAAAAAAGGAGAAAAAAGUACAUGGUGUUGUGGUACUUACUAUACUAUAAUACUUAAACUAUUAUAUAUAUACAUUA
rnacentral:ribozyme from 14 species